rnacentral:tRNA from 1 species
GGCGCUUUCUUCUAAAGGUUAGGAAACCCGACUCUCAAUCGGGAAAUGGCCUGUUCGAUUCAGCCAAGCGUCACCA